rnacentral:piRNA from 1 species
UAGUAAAUGAAGACUUUUCCAUAGCUGAAA